rnacentral:rRNA from 1 species
UGCAAGUCGAACGAACUCUGGUAUUGAUUGGUGCUUGCAUCAUGAUUUACAUUUGAGUGAGUGGCGAACUGGUGAGUAACACGUGGGAAACCUGCCCAGAAGCGGGGGAUAACACCUGGAAACAGAUGCUAAUACCGCAUAACAACUUGGACCGCAUGGUCCGAGCUUGAAAGAUGGCUUCGGCUAUCACUUUUGGAUGGUCCCGCGGCGUAUUAGCUAGAUGGUGGGGUAACGGCUCACCAUGGCAAUGAUACGUAGCCGACCUGAGAGGGUAAUCGGCCACAUUGGGACUGAGACACGGCCCAAACUCCUACGGGAGGCAGCAGUAGGGAAUCUUCCACAAUGGACGAAAGUCUGAUGGAGCAACGCCGCGUGAGUGAAGAAGGGUUUCGGCUCGUAAAACUCUGUUGUUAAAGAAGAACAUAUCUGAGAGUAACUGUUCAGGUAUUGACGGUAUUUAACCAGAAAGCCACGGCUAACUACGUGCCAGCAGCCGCGGUAAUACGUAGGUGGCAAGCGUUGUCCGGAUUUAUUGGGCGUAAAGCGAGCGCAGGCGGUUUUUUAAGUCUGAUGUGAAAGCCUUCGGCUCAACCGAAGAAGUGCAUCGGAAACUGGGAAACUUGAGUGCAGAAGAGGACAGUGGAACUCCAUGUGUAGCGGUGAAAUGCGUAGAUAUAUGGAAGAACACCAGUGGCGAAGGCGGCUGUCUGGUCUGUAACUGACGCUGAGGCUCGAAAGUAUGGGUAGCAAACAGGAUUAGAUACCCUGGUAGUCCAUACCGUAAACGAUGAAUGCUAAGUGUUGGAGGGUUUCCGCCCUUCAGUGCUGCAGCUAACGCAUUAAGCAUUCCGCCUGGGGAGUACGGCCGCAAGGCUGAAACUCAAAGGAAUUGACGGGGGCCCGCACAAGCGGUGGAGCAUGUGGUUUAAUUCGAAGCUACGCGAAGAACCUUACCAGGUCUUGACAUACUAUGCAAAUCUAAGAGAUUAGACGUUCCCUUCGGGGACAUGGAUACAGGUGGUGCAUGGUUGUCGUCAGCUCGUGUCGUGAGAUGUUGGGUUAAGUCCCGCAACGAGCGCAACCCUUAUUAUCAGUUGCCAGCAUUAAGUUGGGCACUCUGGUGAGACUGCCGGUGACAAACCGGAGGAAGGUGGGGAUGACGUCAAAUCAUCAUGCCCCUUAUGACCUGGGCUACACACGUGCUACAAUGGAUGGUACAACGAGUUGCGAACUCGCGAGAGUAAGCUAAUCUCUUAAAGCCAUUCUCAGUUCGGAUUGUAGGCUGCAACUCGCCUACAUGAAGUCGGAAUCGCUAGUAAUCGCGGAUCAGCAUGCCGCGGUGAAUACGUUCCCGGGCCUUGUACACACCGCCCGUCACACCAUGAGAGUUUGUAACACCCAAAGUCGGUGGGGUA